CCACACCAACCAAGGCUUAAAUAAUUUUUUUAAAUAAGUUUUAAUCACCAUGAUUAAAGUACCCUGAACAAAAUUCAGCAGCACACUCUAGUCAGAGGCAAAAAUGACUAGGCUUGUACUGUCCCAGGCUAGAAGGAACCCUGGAGGUACUUGAGUAUGAUAUCCACUCCCUUCUCCCCAUUUUACCAAGGUCAACAAAAAAAGCUUUCCCAGCCCUCCACUACAGCCCAAUCUCGUGCUUGAGUCCUGCAUCCUAAUUACUGUGAGGUCUGUGUUGGGGUAGAGGUAGGGCUCCAGGUGCUACUGGCUGUUGGGAUAGGGGGCAGUGCCUUCAAAGACAGGAAUGGCUGAACAGCAGCAAUACUUAAGAGCUUGCUGAGGUUGAAAUUCACUACAAGGAUUUCAUAUAGAGGCCUUCGUUUAUUUCUGUUUAACAAACAAAAACUUUCCUGCAAAAUAUCCAAAUUUUAAGUUUACUCAUAAAUGAACAUUUUUAAUUGAAUCAUUUACCUCAAGAACUAAACUGGCUUGAUUUAUUAGCCAAUUUUAUAGAAAACAAACUAACUGCAUAAGAUGGAAAUGGAGCUGAGAGAUGGAAACGUAAAAAAGGAAACCUGGCUGCCAAUGACAAAGGAACUGAGCUUCCAAAAAUUUAUUGAACAAGCUGACUUACUAGAAGAACUUAAAUAUGACUUCAA